rnacentral:misc_RNA from 1 species
UAACCAAUCACGCCUAGCGUGGACUUGGGGUUCGCGUCCCGCGGCCCUUAAAACCAGGGCGGUGCCCGCUGGGCUCUAAGCGUAGUAAUUUUCCUCGCUUUUGGGCCCCGCGGGUGCUCGCCACAACCCCUAAUUUUCUCA